rnacentral:rRNA from 1 species
CCCCCGGGUUAAUGCCUUAGUAGCGGCGAGUGAGCGGCAAAAGCUCAAAUUUGAAAUCUGGCUCUUUCAGAGUCCGAGUUGUAAUUUGAAGAAGGUAUCUUUGGGUCUGGCUCUUGUCUAUGUUUCUUGGAACAGAACGUCACAGAGGGUGAGAAUCCCGUGCGAUGAGAUGAUCCAGGCCUAUGUAAAGUUCCUUCGAAGAGUCGAGUUGUUUGGGAAUGCAGCUCUAAGUGGGUGGUAAAUUCCAUCUAAAGCUAAAUAUUGGCGAGAGACCGAUAGCGAACAAGUACAGUGAUGGAAAGAUGAAAAGAACUUUGAAAAGAGAGUGAAAAAGUACGUGAAAUUGUUGAAAGGGAAGGGCUUGAGAUCAGACUUGGUAUUUUGUAUGUUACUUCUUCGGGGGUGGCCUCUACAGUUUAUCGGGCCAGCAUCAGUUUGGGCGGUAGGAGAAUUGCGUUGGAAUGUGGCACGACUUUGGUUGUGUGUUAUAGCCUUCGUCGAUACUGCCAGCCUAGACUGAGGACUGCGGUUUAUACCUAGGAUGUUGGCAUAAUGAUCUUAAGUCGCCCGUCUUGAACCACGGACCC